rnacentral:rRNA from 1 species
UACGUAGGGUGCUAGCGUUGUUCGGAAUCAUUGGGCGUAAAGCGCGUGUAGGCUGCUUCGCAAGUCGGAUGUGAAAGCCCUGGGCUCAACCCAGGAAGUGCAUUCGAAACUGCAGAGCUGGAGUCCUGGAGAGGAAGGCGGAAUUCUCGGUGUAGAGGUGAAAUUCGUAGAUAUCGAGAGGAACACCGGUGGCGAAGGCGGCCUUCUGGACAGUGACUGACGCUGAGACGCGAAAGCGUGGGGAGCAAACAGG